rnacentral:tRNA from 1 species
GGGGUAUUAGCUCAGUUGGCUAGAGCGCUUGCAUGGCAUGCAAGAGGUCAUCGGUUCGACUCCGAUAUGCUCCACUA